rnacentral:tRNA from 1 species
UUCCCUGUGGCUCAGUUGGUAGAGCAUGGUGUUUGCAACGCCAGGGUUGUGGGUUCGAUUCCCAAAAGAGAGA